GCCAGACUCCUACGGGAGGCAGCAGUGGGGGAUAUUGCACAAUGGGGGAAACCCUGAUGCAGCGACGCCGCGUGGGUGAAGAAGCGCCUCGGCGCGUAAAGCCCUGUCAGCAGGGAAGAAAAUGACGGUACCUGAAGAAGAAGCCACGGCUAACUACGUGCCAGCAGCCGCGGUAAUACGUAGGUGGCGAGCGUUAUCCGGAUUUAUUGGGCGUAAAGCGUCCGCAGCCGGUUUAUUAAGUAUAGAAUAAAACUUCGGGGCUCAACCCCGUCUCGUUCUAUAAACUGAUAGACUAGAGUGUGGUAGAGGCAAGUGGAAUUUCUAGUGUAGCGGUAGAAUGCGUAGAUAUUAGAAGGAACACCAGUGGCGAAGGCGACUUGCUGGGCCAUCACUGACGGUCAGGGACGAAAGCGUGGGGAGCGAAUAGGAUUAGAUACCCGUGUA
rnacentral:rRNA from 1 species